CCCGUAUGGGUAACGAGUAUAAUAGAUAGUGGUAUCCUGAGUAGGGCGGGGCACGUGAAACCCUGUCUGAAUUUGGCGGGACCAUCCGCUAAGGCUAAAUACUCCUGAGAGACCGAUAGUGAACCAGUACCGUGAGGGAAAGGUGAAAAGAACCGUGAAUAACGGAGUGAAAUAGAUCCUGAAACCAUACGCUUACAAGCGGUCGGAGCCCUUUCGUGGGGUGACGGCGUGCCUUUUGCAUAAUGAGCCUACGAGUUAACGUUGCUGGCAAGGUUAAGUGGUUAAGCCACGGAUCCGUAGCGAAAGCGAGUCUGAAUAGGGCGCUUUAGUCAGUAGUGUUAGACGCGAAACCGUGUGAUCUACCCAUGGGCAGGAUGAAGCUGUGGUAACACACAGUGGAGGUCCGAACCGGUUGACGUUGAAAAGUCUUCGGAUGACCUGUGGGUAGGGGUGAAAGGCCAAUCAAACUCGGAAAUAGCUCGUACUCCCCGAAAUGCAUUUAGGUGCAGCGUUAGUUAUAAAGUUAUAUAGAGGUAGAGCUACUGAUUGGAUGCGGGGGCUUCACCGCCUACCAAUUCCUGACAAACUCCGAAUGCUAUAUAAUGUUCACUAACAGUGAGGGCUUGGGUGCUAAGGUCCAAGUCCGAGAGGGAAAGAACCCAGACCAUCAGCUAAGGUCCCCAAAUAUACGCUAAGUUGAAAGAACGAGGUUUGUCUGCCCAGACAGCUAGGAUGUUGGCUUGGAAGCAGCCAUUCAUUUAAAGAGUGCGUAACAGCUCACUAGUCGAGCGGACGAGCAUGGAUAAUAAUCGGGCAUAAGCGUAUUACCGAAGCUAUGGAUUUAGAGUUUACUCUAAGUGGUAGGGGAGCAUUCUAACAGGGUUGAAGGUGUGUCGUAAGGCAUGCUGGACUGGUUAGAAAAGAAAAUGUAGGCAUAAGUAACGAUAAUGCGGGCGAGAAACCCGCACACCGAAAAACUAAGGUUUCCACAGCUAUGCUAAUCAGCUGUGGGUUAGUCUGGUCCUAAGGCGAACCCGAAAGGGACAGUCGAUGGCUAACGGGUUAAUAUUCCCGUACUACUAAUUACUGUGAUGGGGUGACGGAGUGAUGAAAGCGCCGCGAACUGACGGAAUAGUUCGUUGAAGUACCUACCUAUAAG
rnacentral:ncRNA from 1 species